rnacentral:rRNA from 1 species
AGUUUGAUCUGGCUCAGAUUGAACGCUGGCGGGAUGCUUUACACAUGCAAGUCGAACGGCAGCACGGACUUCAGAGUCUGGUGGCGAGUGGCAGAUGGUGAGUAAUGUAUCGGAACGUGCCUAGUAGCGGGGGAUAACUACGCAGCGUAGCUAAUACCACGCAUACGCCCUUCGGGAAAGCAGGGGACCUUCCGGGCCUCACUAUUAAACGGCCGAUAUCGGAUUAGCUAGUUGGUGGGAGUAACGGCUCACCAGGCGACGAUCCGUAGCUGGUUUGAGAGGACGACCAGCCACACUGGGACUGAGACACGGCCCAGACUCCUACGGGGAGGCAGCAGUGGGGAAUUUUGGACAAUGGGGAAACCUGAUCAGCCAUCCCGCGUGUGCGAUGAAGGCCUUCGGGUUGUAAAGCACUUUGGCAGGAAAGAAACGGCGUACGGAUAAUACCCCGUGCAACUGACGGCUACCUGCAGAAUAAGCACCGGCUAACUGCGUGCCAGCAGCCGCGGUAAUACGUAGGGUGCAAGCGUUAAUCGGAAUUACUGGGCGUAAAGCGUGCGCAGGCGGUUCGAGAAGAAAAGAUGUGAAAUCCCAGAGCUUAACUUUGGAACUGCAUUUUUAACUACCGAGCUAGAGUGUGUCAGAGGAGGUGGAAUUCCGCGUGUAGCCGUGAAAUGCGUAGAUAUGCGGAGGAACACCGAAGUGGCGAGGCAGCCUCCUGGAAGUAACACUGACGCUCAUGCACGAAAGCGUGGGAGCAAACAGGAUUAGAUACCCUGGUAGUCCACGCCUAAACGAUGUCAACUAGCUGUUGGGGCCUUCGGGCGCCCAGUGACGGCGCAGCUAACGCGUGAAGUUGACCGCCUGGGGAAGUACGGUCGCAAGAUUAAAACUCAAAGGAAUUGACGGGGACCCGCACAAGCGGUGGAUGAUGUGGAUUAAUUCGAUGCAACGCGAAAAACCUUACCUACCCUUGACAUGUCUGGAAUCCCGAAGAAGUUUGGGAGUGCUCGCAAGAGAACCGGAACACAGGUGCUGCAUGGCUGUCGUCAGCUCGUGUCGUGAGAUGUUGGGUUAAGUCACAACGAGCGCAACCCUUGUCAUUAGUUGCUACGAAGGGCACUCUAAUGAGACUGCCGGUGACAAACCGGAGGGAAGGGUGGGGAUGACGUCAAGUCCUCAUGGCCCUUAUGGGUAGGGCUUCACACGUCAUACAAUGGUCGGGACAGAGGGUCGCCAACCCGCGAGGGGGAGCAAUCCCAGAAACCCGAUCGUAGUCCGGAUCGCAGUCUGCAACUCGACUGCGUGAGUCAAGGAUCGCUAGUAAUCGCGGAUCAGCAUGUCGCGGUGAAUACGUUCCCGGGUCUUGUACACAUCGCCCGUCACACCAUGGGAGUGGGUUUUACCAGAAGUAGUUAGCCUAACCGUAAGGAGGGCGAUUACCACGGUAGGAUUCAUGACUGGGGGUGAAGUCGUAACAAAGGUAACUCUGUUACUACCUGAUGCUUUUGUAAUACAUGAA